ensembl:lncRNA
AUGUUGUAUGCGUAGCGAGGGAAACGAGGUGUGAUGCGUGCAGGUUCCCUAUGCCACCUGUGUGUUAUGCCACCUGUGUGUGCCAAGUGUAGCUUCGUGAUUGGAGGAAACACUUGUAUUUAAACACGUAGCCUAGAGCAAUUAACGCCAUUUGCCUCACUUACUCCUGGGGUCUGCGUGAGCAUCUGGCCCCGACCUGGUAAAGGGUCGGUUUCGCUCAGCAGUAAGCCCUACACGUGGACAGAGGACGAACACCGGACGAGCGAACGGAGACCACAUGCAACAAGUGGUGACCCCGACGUGAUCUGUCUGCUGAGGGUGGCUGCCCGGCGUGCCCGUGACGCGGAGAAGAGCCUGUGAGGUGGCGGCAGGUCGCAUGCGUAACAAUGGACCAAGUCAUUAAGGUACUUGUGCAGUUUUGUAAGGACUACUGUGGAAGAUCUACUCCUUCCCGGAAGGAGAUCGCGACAGUUUUGUCGCUAUUAAAUGAGCUGGGGGAGCUGGACUCUCCCCGCCACAUUUUGGAUUCGAGUAGGUGGGACUUGCUCACCUCGGCGCUAUGCCAGCGCGCCAUGGCCAGUCAGAAGGCUACGGAACUUAAAACGUGGGGACUGAUGUUAGGAGCCCUUAAGGCGGCCAGGGAAGAGGACAAACUUGGGGGGGUCAUGAGCGGGGAGGGAGCUUCGGGGAGCGGGUCUUUGGAGUUUUGCAGGUCCGGCGCUCAGACCACAGCGAAAAAAACGGCGACGGAGAGAGAGGAAGAUUGCGAGAAGGACAAAGAAGAGUCGCAGAGGCUCGGGGGGGGGUGCAACGACGCCGACGGCCCCUCCUAAUUCUAUUGCGCUGUCGCCGCCCCCGCCCUACCCUAAGCAGCCGUUAUAUCCUUCCUUGGCAACGACAUCGGAGCAGGGGGCGGGACCAUCCCCAAAAGGAAAGGAGGAGGGGAGACUUAAGCUUACUGAUUGGGGGCAGAUCAAAGAGGAAGUGGCACAGAAAGGCCUGGCGGCAACUUAUACACUCCCAGUUGUUGUCUCAGAGGAGGGAGGCCCAGUCUGGGUCCCGUUGGACCCAAAGGGGGUAGCAAGGAUGAUUGAGGCAGUAGAAAAGAAAGGGCUGAAAUCGCCAUUGACGAUGAAUGCCCUUGAGGCCCUCACAGCAUCGGGCCCAAUGCUGCCUUAUGAUAUUGAAAAUUUAAUGCGCAUGGUGUUGAAACCAGUGCAGUAUACGCUCUGGAGAGAGGAGUGGCAUACCAAAUUAAAACAAAUGCUGAUUACGGCGCAGGGUGAUCAAAGAAACCCCAUAUAUGGGUCCGAUAUACAGAGAUUAACGGGCAAUGCACCAGGUCUGCUGACCCCUCAAGCACAAGUUUGUCAACUUAGACCAGGAUAGUUGAUAGCGACUACGGACGCUGCAAUAGACGCGUUCCGAAAGCUUGCAAGGAGUGCUGAGCCCACUACUCCAUGGACAGAGAUCGCGCAAGGCCCCACAGAGCCGUUUCAGGAGUUUGCAGACAGACUAAUUAAGGCAGUGGAAGGCUCGGAUCUGCCCAGAGCAGUUCACGGUCCCGUCAUCCUGGAUUGCUUGUAUCAGAAGUCCAGUGAAGGGGUGCAGGGGAUUUUGCGAGUGGCGCCGGGGAGGCUCCAAACCCCUGGUGAGGCCAUCAAGUAGGUCCUAGAUAAGCAAAAGGCCUGUCCGUCUGUGGCAGGGGAGGUAGCUGCGGCGGUAGCAGGAGUGAUGAUGGCCUGUAGGGAGGCGGACCAUCGUAGUGCAGGACCGACAGUUAGGACCUUGCUUUAAAUGUGGUCAGGCGGGCCACAUUAGGGCCCAGUGCAGAAUGGGUGCGGGUGGAAGCGUAACAUGUCAGCAGUGCGGGCGGAGGGGUCAUACAGCACCACAAUGCAGGGCCCGUAGGCCUCCACGCCAGGGAAAUAACAACGGGAGACAGUCCGAGCACGGUGACUUCAUUUUUCGACCUAUGCAGGCCCCUGACCUAAGUUUACCCAUGGCGGCGCUGUCUCUAAGUACCCAUGAGCGCCCUCUGGUGAAAGCCACUAUUUCUUGCACCAACCUCCCGCUGGAUUUUCAAGGCCCUCGAUCUAUCUUUGUCACUGCCCUCAUAGAUUCCGGCGCCGACGUUACUGUGGUCGCGGAAACAGAAUGGCCAUCCUCGUGGCCCGCGGAGGCCUCGCAGUCUAUUUUGGGGGUUGGAGGGGCGACCCCCUCACGCCGGUCUACCAAUGAGGUACAAGCGGUUGUGAUUAACAGGGAUGGCUCCUUAGAGAAACCGGCGUUGCUUACACCAUUGGUGGCGCGUGUCCCCGGAACUCUUCUGGGGCGGGAUUUCUUGCGACAGAUAGGCAUUCCACAGUAUCCUCUGAACACCUUCAAGGGAUACGUCACUAAUGUUACUGCUUGCGAUAACGACGCCGAUUUAGCCAGCCAAACAGCAUGCUUGAUACAGGCUCUAAAUACAACCCUCCCUUGGGACCCCCAAGAAUUGGAUAUUUUAGGGUCCCAGAUGAUCAAGAACGGAACAACACGUACGUGUGUUACCUUUGGUUCGGUGUGCUAUAAAGAGAACAAUCGCAGUAGAGUCUGUCACAAUUUUGAUGGGAAUUUUAAUGGGACUGGUGGGGCAGAAGCAGAAUUGCGUGACUUCAUAGCAAAAUGGAAAAGUGAUGACCUUCUUAUAAGACCCUAUGUCAACCAAUCAUGGACGAUGGUAAGUCCAAUAAAUGUAGAGAGUUUUUCAAUAAGUCGUAGAUAUUGUGGAUUCACCAGUAACGAGACUCGUUACUAUAGAGGGGACCUUUCUAAUUGGUGUGGUUCAAAAAGGGGAAAAUGGUCAGCGGGGUACAGCAACGGGACAAAAUGUUCCAGCAACACGACAGGUUGCGGUGGUAAUUGCACGACGGAAUGGAAUUAUUAUGCAUAUGGGUUUACCUUCGGGAAACAGCCAGAGGUGUUGUGGAACAAUGGGACUGCUAAGGCACUCCCCCCAGGUAUUUUCUUGAUUUGUGGGGACAGGGCUUGGCAAGGCAUCCCGCGUAAUGCCUUGGGAGGGCCCUGUUAUCUAGGACAAUUGACUAUGCUCUCUCCUAACUUUACCACCUGGAUAACAUAUGGGCCGAACAUUACGGGUCACCGCCGUAGCAGGCGCUCGCUGAGUCGUCUCUCGCCUGGCUGCGGUGAUGAGCUACAGCUAUGGAGUGUGACAGCCCGGAUAUUUGCUUCUUUCUUUGCUCCUGGUAUAGCCGCAGCACAGGCCUUAAAGGAGAUCGAACGAUUGGCAUGUUGGUCGGUUAAGCAAGCAAAUUUAACAUCAUUAAUAUUGAAUGCGAUGCUGGAGGAUACGAGCAGCAUCCGGCACGCAGUGUUGCAGAAUCGAGCAGCCAUCGAUUUCUUACUCCUGGCGCAGGGACACAGGUGUCAAGACGUGGAAGGGAUGUGUUGCUUCAAUCUCAGCGAUCACAGUGAGUCCAUUCACAAGGCGCUCCAAGCCAUGAAGGAACAUACAGAGAAGAUACGGGUGGAAGAUGAUCCCAUAGGGGACUGGUUUACGCGCACGUUUGGUGAUCUAGGAAGGUGGCUCGCGAAAGGUGUUAAGACGCUACUGUUUGCCUUGCUUGUCAUAGCCUGUCUAUUAGCUAUCAUUCCAUGUAUAAUCAAGUGCUUUCAGGAUUGUCUAUCGAGAACAAUGAAUCAGUUUAUGGAUGAACGCAUAAAAUAUCAUAGAAUUAGGGAGCAGUUGUAGGUUCCGAACGCGAUGUGACGGGAGCUAUCGGCAUAGGGAGGGGGAGAUGUUGUAUGCGUAGCGAGGGAAACGAGGUGUGACGUGUGCAGGUUCCCUAUGCCACCUGUGUGUUAUGCCACCUGUGUGUGCCAAGUGUAGCUUCGUGAUUGGAGGAAACACUUGUAUUUAAACACGUAGCCUAUAGCAAUAAACGCCAUUUGCCUCACUUACUCCUGGGGUCUGCGUGAGCAUCUGGCCCCGACCUGGUAAAGGGUCGGUUUCGCCCAGCAGUAAGCCCUACACGUGGACAGAGGACGAACACCGGACUGAGCGAACAGGAGACCACAUGCAACAGUCUCAAAGGGAAUUCCUAAAGGUUUCUUCAUCUUUAAUGAGAAAAAUGGCCAUGCAGUGCUCUUGAACCAACUUACUUCCAUACCUAGUCAGGUCAAAGCAAAGUUCUGUCUGCACUGUCUUACCUGGAGCCUACUGGAAGACCUUCUUGCUACAGCUACAAGAAGCACUGUGUCCACAGGCUUUCAUUUUGAUGGAGGAAUUCAAACUCCUGGAGUGCAUUCGGAGAAGUUUCCUGGCCUAGCUAUCAGACAAACCAACCAGAGGAGAAACAUUACCUGACCAGACACUCACCAUACAAAGGAGAUCAUUAAAUAUAUUAAGAUAAGAGGUACUGUGAGCUGUAGUGAUAGUGCUCUGAUUAUGUUUGUGAUCUCAAGGAAUAUGGGCAUGGCAAAGAACAGAGACAGGACUCCGCACUUCAGAAGAGUGAUAUUCCAGCUGUUUAAGGAAUUACUGGAUGAGAUCCCCUGGGAAGCUGUCCUCGGAGACAGUGGAGCAGAGCAGAGCUGGCAGCUCUAUAAGGACACCUUUCUGACAACAUAAGAGCUCUCUGUCCCUCAGCAUAAGAAAUCAAGAAGAGGAGGGAGGAAACCAGCAAGAUUGAGUGAGGACCUGCUGGUCAAAAUGAGAAAUAAGAAGGAAAUUCACAGUUAAUGGAAUCAGGAAUGAGUGGCCUGGAAAGAAUACAGGAUUCCAUCUAGACAUGAAGAGAUGGGAUCAGGAAAGAUAAGGCACAGAUGGAACUGCAUUUGGUGAGGGAUGGGAAAAAUAAGAUGGUGGAAUAGAACCUCCUGGAAGCUAUCUUAAGACACAUGUGAGGCAAGGUGAUCUGUGACAAAGAACCUGGUCUUGUCAUGGGCAGAUCACACCUGACCGAUCUGGUGGCCCUCUACGAUGGAGUGUUGGCAUCAGUAGAAGAAAGAGGAGAAACUGGUAUCAUCUAACUGGAAUUCAGCAAAGUAUUUGAUACGAUCCCACACACCAUCCUUAUCCCUAAAUUGGGGAGAUAUGGACUUGAAGGCUGGACUAUUCAGUGGAUAAGGAAUUGGUUGUACAGCGUCAGCCAGAGGGUUGGGGUUAAUGGCUUCAGGUGAUGAGUGGUGUCCCCCAGGGGUCUGUCCUGGGACCGGUGCUUUUCAACAUCUUUAUCAACAACCUAGACAGUAGGAUUAAGAACACUCUCAGCAAGUUUGCUAAGCUGAGUGGUGCAGUUCAUAGAACAGAAAUAAGGGUUGCCAUCCAGAGGGACCUGGGCAAGUUUGAAAAAUUUUGAGAAACUCCUUGUAGGAAGUUUAUGCAUGAUAAAUGAUUAUGAUAUCUGAGUUCCAAUUGGGGAACACUGCUGUAUUUGUGAUGACUUGCUAGGAGUGUGUCAUUUUAGAUCUUGGAGACCUGUCUUUUGUAAUGGGAGCCUGCAAAUGCCCCCAACAAAUUCUUGUCCAUGGAGCUGAACAGAUCAUCUGCAUAGUGAACUGUUAGUGCAUAAACUGAUGUUUCCAGAUACCUGCGGUAGAUAUCAAUUAAACCACAGAAAUCUAAUUGUACUUUACAAGAGCUGUAGCACUGUACUGACAAUUAAUUUCAAAUACAUUAAUGGACUUAGAGAUAGGUGCCUGUACGACCACGUGGAAAUCCAAGAGCAGUACUACCUUGAAUUCUUUCUCAAAAAUGAGAGUUAUUGUGGCCACGUUGUUCCUUGGGCUGUGACCCUUACAGUGAUCUUACAUUGGUUGAUGGUUGUCUUUCUGAUCUGAGAAAAGAUAAACUAGAUAAAAUUCCUAAACAAAUAAGAGUAGCUUACUUUUGUGUUGGAUUUCACAUGAUACAGAUGUCCUUCUUACAUUCCCUACUUCCUUUUGCUUGUUCCUAACAUGUGCAUAACAAUAUGACAGCCAUAAAUUGUCAUGACACUUAAACAUAAAGCACCAUUUAAGUCCUUUAUCUUAUCUGCUACUUGGUUCAGGUAAAUAAGAAUAAUUAAUGGCAGCUACACUACCUAUAAUCGUUGUUAUGGCUCUGAAUUAGCUGAUUUUCUGUUCCAGAACCCCAGGGUGAGAGGCAGAAUGCUGGGGAGCAUGAGGGAGAACUUACCGAGUGUCAGCUGAGAUUCUGUGUAUGGAAAUGGAUGUUAGUGAAGGUUAGGACCUAGGACUAGGACAAGGACUGCUAUCGCUACUGCUUUAUUUCUUGUAGUCUGCAGUGCAGAAACAGUGAGCAAUCUGAAAGACUGACUGGCAGUGAGAAUCAUAGGGAAGAGGAAAAAAAGGGACAAGGAACAUAUAAUGCUCCAACCCUCCUCCCCACCUCCAAGUUAAUUCAGUGUGGGCUUUUCUUGAUCAAAGUUCCUACCCCACAAUAUAUUGUAAUUUAUGUGUGUCUGAGGCGUACAGUAAUGCUGAGCUAAUGUGGUUUUGUACUUAAGUAAACAUGUUUUCAGAGUUGCUAAUGCAUGACAGAAAGUGCUGGAUCGAAGUCUUUCCUGAAUUAGAAGAAAGAAAAACAGCUAUUAUAAAAGGAGAAGUGUGCCUGACUGAGUAAUGCUGUAUCAGAAAGUCUGCAAACAAGUAUCUUAGUCUUUGAUAAGGAUCUAUUUUUAUUAAUUCCUGGGCUGAAAACCAAAUAUCCCUUUUUAACCUGGGAUGUUCUGUAGAGCACACAGCUAGUGCUUUUCAAAUUUUUAUCCUGUUUCGUAAGGGUGGUAAAAGACAAUCCAUUUCAGGCUUUAGGAAUGUAAGACACAAACAUCCCAAAUAGGUUUUUAAUUAAACAUAUAUUACCUUAGUUCAUGAUAAAAGAGUAAACAGUGAUAUGUACUGUUAUGGGUAGGAUAUAAAUCAAAUACAACUACUAUAUUUCCAUAUCUAGUGGAGUCUCAGCAUUUUUUUAAUCUGUUUAUCAUGCAACUGAUUAAUAUAUCAUUAAACAAAAAAGGCAUGUUAUUUCUCAUUGUGAAAGGUCCUUUCAUAAUGUUCUUCUGGAAAUCUACUUGGGUAGAGGAGUAUAUCUGCAUACAUGACAGCACAGACAUGAGGUCUAAGUCCUACCAUUAGUGGCAUUUUCCUGCCAUUCUCUUAAAAUGAGAUAGUGAAAUAAAAUACUGACUUUGUUUGAUGUAUUUUUUAUGUAUGUUCUAAAGCACUUCAUCUGAUAAACUAUCAUGAGAAAUGGACCUUCCAUAGCAUUUCCUAAUACAGCACAUGGUUUGGAUCUAUAAAGUAAACCACAAUAAGAAAACCACGUGUUAACAGUGUGGGAACACCAAGAAGAGAAACCUUUCUUGCUGUGUUUUCAAUAUGAGAUUUCUAGAUAGACUAGCACCACUGAUGUCUCUUUCAUCAGUGAGAUAGAUCCCCAUGCUUGGUCAGAGUAACAAAGACAGCUUGAACCAGAAAAGUUAGAAAAUGGAGUGAAGUAUGGGGAAGGAAGCUUUGAUGUAAGCUGAUGAGCUCAGUGGGUAUUUCAUGGGUUCAUGUGUAUAGUAUCCUCAUACUAUAAUGAUGGAGAAGUUUGAAACUGAAAAACAAACAUAUCCAACAAAUCUCAGAGUAAAAACCCAAGUGGCAGAAUCCCUACUUUCCCAGAGUUAUGAGAAACACCGAGUUACACGCUGAGGAUCCAGACAUCCAGCCUCAGACAGCAUUAGACGAUUUCAAAUAAAAGCUAUCCAGUGCAAAAAUAACAGUGAUGGCUUAAGAAGUCCUUCAACCUUCAAAUCACUAGGGAAAAGAGGAGAUUAUUUUGGAGAUGUAAUACUGUGCGCUCAAUCUGAUUUUUCCAUUCUUCUCUGGACAGCCACUGCUAAAGGCAAGAUAAAUUUACCUGAAAGACCUUCUAAGUUACCUUGUUGGCUUGUUUUUAUCUUCUUUUUUCCUAAAUGUAAGUGUGAAAACAAGUAACACCUCACAAUUUGCAGACAGGGAAGAAAUGAGUGUAAAGAAAAUGCAGCAGAUGUGAGCCAAGACAGCGUCAGCUAGAGCUUCCUCCUUGAGUGUAGACCUGAUGCCAGCAGACGGGUAGUAAUUUUGUGACAGUAUAAAAACUCAUAGUCACUGAGAGGGUACAAGCACUUCCUAAAUACACACACACAAAACACAAUCAAAUCAUGAGAGUGGCUGGACCACAAGAUUAUCCACUGCUUGAAGCGAAUGAAGUCAAUGUGAGAGAUAAGAGUAUUCCGACUUAAGCACAUGCUUAAAUUUAUUAAGGCACUUAAAGUUAGGUGCGUGCUCAAGUGCUGUUACUUGAAUGACAAGUGGGUUUAAAGCAUUUUCCCAAGUUGGGACUUUGCAACAUUGAUAGUCAGCUAUGCAACUGGUGAAACUUAAAAUAGAUGCAUGCACACACAAAAAUGCAAAAAAGAGAGUUUCUUUUUAUGUCUGUCUGCUAUGCUUAGUGGGCUUUCUUGGCUAAGUCUGAGCUAAAUAUUACUGAAAAUAGCAUAGUACUGUAGUUAUUUCAAAGCACUGUCUGUAUUUGUUCUGUGCACUGGGUGGGCAGGAAGCUUCAUUUCAUAAAUCACUUUCAACGAGACAGUAGACUAUAAAAAGGGAGCGUUUUUUUCCCUUCAGUGUUUUUCAUUCUCAAGGUUCUGAUCUGGUACAGCCUACAUACUGGGAAAAGUUCAAAAAAUGUUUCCCACUGCUCUGCAGACCUUCCCUUGCACACAAGGGAUCUAGGGAACCACCAGCAGGCACCCCGUGCUAGUGAGUCCCCCAGGUCACGGUGCUUAACUUGCUAUGAGGCAUUUGUCAGCAAAACUGCCGAAGCAUCGUCCCAUUCCCAGCUCCAUGGAAAGGCCUCCACAAGAAGUUUCACAGCGCACUGUCUACACAGGGAACCUGUCUGGUCAAACCAUUGUCCAGCAAAAGAAAACAGGUUGGUUUUCAUGGGAGACGUGCAGAGAUGUGCAGGAAGGAGCAGUAGGGGAAAAGGGGUGAGGAAGAGGGGAGGAGAAAAGCUCGAAUGAUCCAGCAUUUCUCCUUAUAAAUUAUUUGUUAAAACUUUGUUAGAUUGAGCUUUACACUCAAAAAGGAGCCAAAUGCUCCUUGUGGUACUUACUGGGAACCAAAGGGUAAGAGAGACAGAUAUAGUCAUUCACCUGCAGCAAGGGAAAAGUUGCUGCCUGAUUCAACCCACUGAGUCACAACUUUUCCAUUUAAUAUUAAUAAAAAUGGGGUUCCGCACACCAGUACCUAAAAUGCGCCCCUCAGUUUUGGCACUAUCUGUACAUGGGUUUCUAAAGUACUACAGAGAAAUAGUAUCACUGAGUGAGUGGGCUCUACUUAGGUUGGUUGUUUCUCCCCAGCCAGCCGAACUUCUACAGAACAGGGUUUAGGAAGCUCAGGAAAUUCACACCUGCUACAUGUCACACCAAACAUGAUACAGGAACAGCCAUACCGAGUCAGGGCCUCAAAUCAUCCUUUUAAGUCUCUGUUUGUGACUGUCCCCAGAGCUGAAGGCCUCAAUAAAGCACAACCAGCAAUUUUAGCAGAAGCCUUUCCCUGGGCUGCCCUCCCAUCUAUUGGCACUCCACAGCUCACCAGUCUCCUGACCUAAAAGUUGCAAACAAGCUGCUUGCUGUUUCCCACCAAGAAAGCUUCACACUGUUUUGGAACAGCACAUGUCUUCCAUGUUUGCAGUAAGUCCCCAUGCCAGGUCCAAAGCAGGACUCACUGUGGACUCGCUCUGCAUUUGGUGUCAGUGGGUUUAGAAACACAUUCCUCAAGUGCAGCACGCUACUAGGGUUCUUGCAGUUCAGGGAUUAAAACAGCUGCAAAGGCUCACUCUGAUCAGAGUGAAUCUAUUUUAUGUAUUCUCCAAGAAGUUUAAUCUUCUAUUUUUUUAAAGAACAGAUUGCUCUCAUUUUGGCAGAAAAACUUGUGUAAGGAGCUCUGGGACAAACAAUAGCAAACUUGGAAUGCUUAAUUUUGAAGCAGGAUUUACUAUUCUUUUUACCCUACAAACUCAGUCUAUGAAGGGGUAAAACAUGGUUGCUUAAAAUAAUUGUAAUUACUCCUCCAGUUGAAUCCAAUCAGGUGGAAUGGAUACUUAAGCAGAGUGUUAAUUAUGAUACCACCGAUGCUAGAGAAAGAAACCUAACUAAAAUCUAAGGCUACAUUCAGUUUACUGCAUGGAUUACACACAGGAUUACACUUUAAAACCACUGCAAGGUUGAAUGAUUUGUUUCAAUCCAAAUACCAUUUUUUUGCACAGUAUUAAGGGAAAUUUUGGAACUGGUAAGCAAGGUAGUCCACAGGAUUGUCCGCAGAGUACUUUGAAUUUGCAAGUAACCAUUUGUAAAUACCAUUUUGUAGACACCAAAACAGAAGCAGCAGCUGGACAUUGAACCUAAAUUAUUUUCAGUUAGGCUGAUGCAAGCAUGCAUACUGCUUUCGUUAGCUGAGACUACUCCAGCAUGUAAGACAACUUGAAGAGAGUUCAUGGCAGAUUACCACCCUUGAAGUUUAGAUUAAUGCUCCAUAUUUAGAACAAAGAUGCACUGGAGGAAUAAUUUUUAAAAAAUUAUUCCAACUCCAGCUUUCUAUGAUUCUAACUACUAGCAACCAUUAGCAACUUGCAAGGCUUGCAGGAAUUCUCAGUCUGAAUGCAACACAACUCCAAAGCUUUUCCUUCUGCAUGGCAGUAGUACUCACUGACCUCAGCCAGAAUUUCUGAGGUUCUCUACUGUUGUUGAGAUCUCUCUUUGUUGCAUUAACUGAUUCUGCCUCAAAAGGGAAAGUGCCCUUUAUAGGCAGAUUAAAACUUUCAAUUCUCUGUGGUAAUUAUUAAAUGAAUCAUGAAACUAAGGCUGCCAGCUGUGCCACGUUAAAUUGCACUCUCCCACGUUCAACAUUCUCUUGCUGAGCUUAGCUCAGAAAGUUUGUCAUUGGAUUUCCAUGAAUUUUCCAAGUAUUGAAGUUUGCUUUUAAAUUCUCUUGCAAUCAUGCAAUCCACACAAUAAGACUAAGCACUGUAAUUUGAUUAACAGAAAAUGAAAAUGAGCUAUCUAGAAAACAGUUUUAGUGGUGAUAUAUUGGCUAACUUCUGUGUGGCUCAUUUUGCAUCACUGUGCUCAGAAAUAAAAUGAAGUCUUUGAAAAUUAAAGCCAGAAAAAUCUCGCCCAAAACCAAGACUCUGAAAUGUAAAAUUAUUAGUUCAAGCUGAGUGAUAAAUGGCAGAAGUUUUCUGUUUUCCACAAUGGUGUAAACAGCUAGUUCAGCAGUGUUGUUGCUAUUGUUACGUAUUUAAAGUUGAAACCUGCUAUUAUAUAUCACAUUACAAAAAAGAGCUCUAGGUUAGACAACAUUUCAGCUUUUCUGUUCCUUAGACUUGGAUCUCAGGCCUAAAGGGAAUAUAUGUAAGACUGUAGGUUAUCACAUUUUACAUAAUAAUUUUGUCCCGUAUAUCUUGAUGGGUGGGGUGUAAAGCUAUUUUUCCCUACUCUCCUGAACAUGCUAGAAUAGUGGAUUUACAUCUUGAUUUUCCGUGCAUCUGUAGAAACAUUCAUUGUACCACACAUCACGUUUCGAGAUCUGGAUAUGCUACAUCGUGUUCUGUCUGAACUCAGGUUGUCCAUUAUCAUAGAAUCACAGCAUCACCAAGGUUGGAAAAGACCUCUAAGAUCAUCCAGUCCAACCAUCCACGUAUCACCAGUAUUUCCCACUAAACCAUGUACCCUUAUACAGCACCUAAACAUUUCUUGAACACAACUGUUCUCUUAUUAUUCUCUUGAAGCCAAAACUACCUGAAAAAUGCUGUGGCUUGGAAAAUGCACAUUUUAUCAUUGAGAUGUCACAUGAGACUUCGUCGGAAUUACUGUGAACUGCACAACCCUACUAAUUGCUUUUAAAAUAGUACCACUGAAAGUCAUCUGCUGAGCCAGCCUUGCAAGGCACAUUGAGCUCUGAGUGCUGAAGUGUGUGGCACAGGCAAGUCCCACCAUGGAAACAUGAUUCGAGACCUUCAACAAGAGGAAAUAUCUUCCAGCAGGGAGAGAUAAAGAGGAGCACUGCAUCACUCACAGUUUCUCUGCCAAGGGAAGCCUUCAGGAAGCAGUCUUCCUUUUGCUCAGAAAAUACAAAACAACGCUAUGAAAGCAAUUUAAGGAACUAUCUGGGAAGCAGCUUAAGGAAAAACACCACCUCUCCCAUGUAGACAGUUAAGGCACUGUGUUUACAAGAUGCGUGCUGAGCUCCCCUCUGGCUUAGCUGAGUGGAAGAAGAUGACCAGUCUAAAUAUAGUAAAAGGAGAUGCAGUGUGUUACAUACAGCCCAUGUAGCUUGUUCAGUCGAGAUUAAUUCAAUGAGGCAGACAGGAAGGUGACAUGCAUGGCUGGAGUGUCUUGGUCAUUUUAAAAUCAGUGUUUUACAUCUAGAUUUCCACUGCCCUAGAAUUCUUUGAACUGUUUCUACGCUUGAUAUGAUUUUCCCAUAUGAAGUGUUCAAGACCUAAGAAAAUGUAACAGAAAGGGCCUCUUAAAUCUACAUAACUCACUCUGCAAAUACAGGACUGGUCUAUAAACCUGCCCACUUCAAGGCUAUUGCACACAUUCCCUGUUUUAGAACCUGCAGAGCCAGUAUCCUCACUCUCUAUUCUUAGCUCAACGUUUCAUACAUCUUAUAAAAGCUGCCUAGAUGUGCACUCAAAAAUCACUCCAUUUUAAUUUGAACCCAGUUUAAGUUAUUGAGUAGCCAGAUGCAAUUAAUCAAACAAUACCUCUCUCCCUGAUGAGAUGACAUUCUCCACGCAUCACUCACAUCUUCCUAACGAGAGGGGCCUAGUUCAAGAUAGGUAUUUAUACAGUAACUGACAUCUCUGUUGAUAAUAAACUUACACUAAACGAGCUUUUCGAAAUCAUAAAUCUCUAUCUUAAAGUGUUCAUCCCCUUUUCAUUCCUACUGAACUGAGAGGCCAGCAAGCUUGCAGUGUGUUUCAUAACUUUGAUUGCUCGUGCUGUUCACUUUCUGAUAAACUAGAGAAUCACCAUUUCUCUUUUGUCUGAGGCAUAUUUUAAGUAGAGCUUGUUAGGAUGAGGAGAUGAUAACCCAGCUGCCUGCUCACAUUUUCUCACAACACAAAACAACACAGUAGUAACCUAUUUGUUGCAUUUCCUGCUUAAACACAUGGAUCCAUUUUGGAAAGAGUUAAAGGAAAUUUUAAAGUUGCUGAUACUCUUGGAAGCUGCUGAUUCUGCUCUGGGCUACAACAGCUUAUGAAAGGAGGACAACAGAGAUCAGACCAGAAAAGAAAGGAAAAGGACAGGGAGGUGAUGGAGAGAUGGCAGAGCUGUGAGGCAACGCAUUCUGUAAACUGUUUCCUCCUGUGACUUGCUGGAAGGUAUAAUCAGUCAUCUGCUGCUCGUUUUUGUGUGUAUGGUGUGUGUGUGUGUGUGCAUGUUUUUUUUAAACACCCAUUGCAAUCCCUCAAGACUACACUCCUAGGUUUUACUUUUUUUGGUGGUGAUAGUGUAUGUUUGUGUAAGGGGUGUCAGGGGACUGAAAUUGUGAUACCAACUAGCAAUUUGGGUGUGUGGGUGAAAAUUAACUGUUGUAGUUGGUUAUUUUAUGGGCCCAAAAUAUGGCUGUUAAAAACCCCAACAUUCACCAUAUGAGCUUUCUGUAUCCAGACCAUAAAAUGUCUGGGAUACAUAGACGGGAUCCAAGCCGACUUCCUGCCAUGAAAUUGUGCUUCACUAAUGAUCACUCCAGCCUGUUUUCUAAACUUGGAGACCUCUUGUUUUCCCUAGAGGAUACUACAUUGUUUGUCUUUGGGAAAAAGUGUUUGUGUGCUACAAUUACGAAGUUUAUAGAACUUAAAAAUUCACCCGAAAUGGGACUACUACUUUACACAUAGUUCAACUUGGGUACGAAAAGGAAAAAUAAAGCUACAUUCAAAAGCUGCAGGAAAGCACAAAGGUAAGGGGUGAAGUUGUUGUCUAUCAAAAAUAUAUUUUAACUAAGUGCUGUCAGUUCUCUGAUGGACAGGAGUCUUUCUCCUUCCCCGCACCCUCGUUAUUCCUCUCUCAAAUGCACCAUUUCCCCAACGUACCCAGACACUGCUUUCCUAAUCAAAUAUUUGAAAAGAUGUCACUUUUAUACUAGGAUAUUCUAUGUAUUAUUAUAUAGAAUAUAUACAAUAACUUACAUAUCCUUUAGUUACAUUAUAUAUACUUAUAUAUGCUAGAUACUGCACCUUCUGAACUGCUGUUCAGUGAGCCUCUAUGGAGAGGCUUCUGAAACUGCAUCUCCGCUAUCUGAUGGAUUGCAACCCAAAGAUCUCAGUUGAAAGUACUCAUGCAAUAUGCAAAGAGACUUCGUACAAAGCAAAACAGAAUAAAAUUUUAAAUGCAAAAAUACACAUUCCUUCCUUCGUGUCUCAAAGUACACUGAGAAAGUGUAUCAUCACUACCCUCGUUAGGGCUCUGAGCUGCCUUUGGAGAGGCCAGUCAUUUCUAUGUACGUAUGCUUGGGAGACUGCAACGGAAAGAGUGUGAAAAGGUCAGAUCAGAAAAACGACCAGGGAAAGAAGCAGGUACCUCAGUGAUGUAAUUACCUGUGGCUUAGGCGCUACCUGGCGGUGUUAUCUAAAAGCUAAAUACAUUUUUAAUAAUUUUGAUUAAUCAGGGUAUUUUUCUAGUGCUAGAAGGAUCUAUAUUUAAAUUUCAGCUCAGCUGUGGCUUUGAGGGUCAAAUACAACAUUUUUUUUAUUUCUUUUAAUUGGGAAAGUAGGGUAAUUAAUGCCAUGGAUGGGCGUAUGUGACAUACUGAAUGCUGCAUUAUGCACAGUAAACACGAGUGACUGCGGCCACAGUGCAGGAAAUGCAGAAAGCAAGGCUCUUCUUAAUUCUGUUCACAUACUUUAAAAUAUAGUUGCGUGUAUAUAUAAACAAAUCUAUAUAUAUUAAAUUCAAAUUGCAUUGGCUCUCAUGCAGACUCGUGCAACUGUCAGAGUCACAUAUGAUGCUCCAUAAAACACAGUGCUAGUUAAGAUAGUUCCCUGCUUCUCUGGCUGCUCACACCUGAGGAAUGAAAACACUUUCCAGCAACAUAUAAUUCAGAGUAGUUUGGAUGAGAUUUUUAAUUUGGUCACUCCCUCUACUGGAGACUUUUUGCCUAGGUCUUAUUCAGAUGUUGAUCACGUUAUCAGGCAAUGAACCCUCUCUGUAAUUUUUCUUAUAAUUUCUUUAAAAAAAAAAACAAAGCUUUAUUUAAGGCUGGUGUUGGUGGAUUUUUGUUUGUUUGUUUUUAGGUUUCCAGAGUGCAGGUUGGGUAGAGCUCUACGUGCAGUGAAAUACAAUCAAAUUGCUUGUCAUGACUCUGUCCUAACACACGGUCACACAGUAAGGCAGUGAAAGCUUACUCCCCUAUUCUUUUCAGUGUUGCUUGGUAAAAACCUGAAAACUGAGCAAAGGACAUUGAAGGCUAUAUCACAAAGGGUUCUAGCUUAAGGAGCAGAGACGAUGAGAUUAUUAUGCAUUUUUGUAACCUAUUUGACCUUCAUUGCCUAAACUGAGCAGACUGGGCUUGCUUUGAAGGCCUUACCACCUAUGCAUAAUAUCGAGCCUAGGGAUAGAUAUGUGUAAAUGGUAAAAGCCUAGACAAAGUGUAAGCAGAGUGCAAUUCCAGCCUGCUUUGCUGAGGGAUAUUGAUAAGAUGCAGUAAUAUAAGCAAUGGUCAAAAUGUACCCCAGUAAAUAUAAUUAAUUCCUAACCUGACUAAACAUUGCCGCCUCAGUCACAGAGAUAGACUGAUGCAAAACUUUUUUCAUAGCUUAGUCUGCUAUCAAAAAUGGAAAGACUGGGGUAAUCCAUGAAUGGUCUUGAUGGGAAAUAGUUAAUUCCUAUAAAUUCAAAACCUUUUCAACAGAAAAACUACUCAAUGACAGCACAGCAUUUCUGUUGUUGUGAUGUAUUUAAACAUCUGCCUCUUUGGUCACUCUCACUACAACACUAACCAUGCUCAGAAAUUGCACGUCUUGAGCACUGCAAGCUUUUCUUAGCUAGAUUUGGUUAAGCAAGGACUGUGUUUAAGCCAGGGGCAAGCCUCUGUUAAACACAGGCAUGCAUUCCCAACUGUCUUGCUCUCAGAUUGCCAGUGGAAGUUUUCAUAUCUCCUGCCUGGAUUUUCUUCUGAGCUGCUUACCUCAGUUCUUGUUUGAUGGAACACUUUUCAAGAGGCUGGUAGAUGUUUCUUUGCCUUCUCCCUACUUCUCUCAGUUUCUUCUAGUGCAGUAUAGCCUAUCAGUCUUCCUGUGAAAGGACCUUCUCUCAGUGAAGGCAUCCUGGGAUCCAAUACUCAUCUUAAUCCCAUCUUGAGUUAGCAUCAUUUUGGAAUUCCACCCUCUCUGUGGGAUGAAAAUCUUGUAUUAAGCACACUGAGGCACAUAAUAGGAGCCUAUUAUGUGCCUCGUGUGAAUACUAAAAUGUAAAAUUUAAUGUAAAAAGUCAGAACUUUGGAAUUAGCAACAAUUAAAUCAAAAAGCUAGGGUACAUUGUCCAGUGAUACGAGGGCUUGCUAAAGGAGGUAAUCCAUGAAUUGCAAGGAGUAAUCCAUGACGUUCACACUGCGUGUCACAGGCUUACCUUGCAUCAGGGUAAGAGGAUACUACGACAAUUUGAAUUUUGAAAAGGAAAUAAGGGAUUCUCACAAGAUCUGCAUUUCUAUUUAAUGUAGCGUAAGACCUGAUAUGGAAAAACAGGCAGCAAAAGACUUUGCUCUCCUUACUUAUAGUUGAGAAAGCCUCAGAAAUUAGAAGUACAGAGUAAGCAUGUCUAAUCCCUGACCAGGGUAAGGGUGUUGGAACUUGAUGAUCCUUGGGGUCACUUCCAAACCAAGACAUUCUAUGAUUCUAUCAUCCAAGCAAGAACAUUGGGCACAUAAAGUUAAAAUGAAAAUUCCCAAGGUGAACAUUAAGAUGCUGAGAAUAAUUACAAAGAAGUGACUGGGGAAAAGAUGGACUGAAAAUGUUGAAAGAGUAAGCAUUAAGUAGCAUUGCUAUUUUAAAUGAUGUCUAGACAACGGGUGAUGGGAUUUUAAAAAGCUGUUGAUUACUCCUCAUUGUAACAUAAACCCAAAGUUCCGAAAGCUUCUGAGAAAAAAACUGGAACCCACCCAACAUUUCUUGAUAGCAAUGGGAAAUUUUCCACUGCUGUCCCUGAAGACAUUUGCUCAUGGACAGAUACAAGAACAGGCUGUUAACGGUGAUUGAACAGGAGAUAAUUUUCCUAUUACACUAUGACUAUAUUAACAAACCAGCUAAAUAACCUGUGAUGAAUCAGUGUGUAAAAUCACACCGUCAACUCCAAGCCUGCUAUACAGGUGGAGCCCUGCUGUGUACUUAGAUCAAGCAGGAAUUCUGGUGCAGAACAGGCUGGUUUGUUGCACAUUUAGUAGCUGCAAAACAUCUACAAAUGUUAUGUUAGGACACCUGAAACCACCAGCUGUACUGUUUCACACUGACUAUGGUAGCUAUGAAAAAAAAACCAAGAAGGCUUUAGGUAAAAGAAAAGGAAAACAUGACACGAGGCACAGUAACAUAAGACUGACUCAAGAUGAUGCACUAAGUCAGAAGGAUAAGUAGCAGUGCAUUAUAACCUCAGGUAGCUGUCGGUCAAAUUCUCUCAAAUUGAAGUCUCCAUGUUUCUCUUUGGUGUCAAAAGUUGAUUUCUCCACCCAGAAGGGUGUAAAGCACUGUGAGCUGCUUCACUCUUCAAGUUGAAGAACAUUGCCUGAGAGCAUGUGGUGUGCUCAGACUCUUCCCUUCCUUCUCCCUGAAAUGGUGCUGGCCUUGAAUAUUAAGUAAAUAAGCAACCCAAGGGUUCUGACUCUGGGCAGCCUGGUCUAGUGGUUGGCAACCCUGCCCAUGGCAUGGGGGUUGAAACUAGAUUGCCUUUGUGGUCCUUUUCAACCCAGGCCAUUCUAUGAUUCUAUGAAAGAAGGUCAAGAGAAAAAUUGCUAGGCAAUCAUUUUUUGCCUCCUGGUUAUCUACAUCAGUAGUACAGUCCCCUGACCAUCCAGCUCGCAGCCUCUGGAUCAGACGUGGGCAUAAAGCUCAGCUGAAAUACAAGCUAGUAUUGCCAAUCCAGUUCCAAAAAGCUACAGAACAGAGACAUUUCAGAACUGGGUGGUUCUUUUCCCCCAAACUGUUGAGAAACCCCAGCUGAAAACGUGGCAAAGAAGAGCUGUGAACAAUUGGGCCUCAACUUGUCUGUAAAUCCCAGUGAAAUGAAUUAAUGUAGACUAUUUUUUUUCCAGUCAAAUGAACUCCUUAGCCUGCUACAGAUUUUCAUAUGUACUUCCUCAAUUUAAGAGUUUUCAGGCUCUCUCAUCUGUUCCUAACUACAUCCUGUAAUUUCCAGUGCUGGUUGCUGCACUUUAAAUCUGGACAGCACAGCUUACAUGUACUUAUCAGUGACUCAUCCACAUAUUUGAAGAUCUUAAGAAUGAAUCACAUAUACAUGUUUGCUGAAUCCCCUCUGCUGUCUGUGAAGAAAGGCUCACACUGACGGAAUGCAGAACAGAGCAAGACGAGAGACUUUGAUGUUAAGGGACUUUAUAUGAGUGUGUUCUCUGAAGAGACGAUUUAAGCCUGUUUAUUAAGUCAUGCUGACUUUGUUGUUAAGCUCAGACAGGGACACCUUAACACAUCCUUCAGUUUUUUGGGCAGUAACUGAGCAUGAGAUACAGUUAAAAUGUUUGCUUUUAAAUCUGGUAUUUAAAAUAGGGUUGGGGUUUUUGUUUGUUUGUUUGCUGCUGUUAUAACAGCACUCUGUCAAAUCACAUCAGAGGAGAAAGUGUCACUCAGCACAAUAGGCCACAGUCUGCAUGUAAAUUGUCUUAAAUCUUCUCUUUCAAAUGUCAGCUGACAAAUCAAAAUGAGAAUAGGCUAUGCAGCAAAAAAAAAACCCAGCCAUACAUUAAAGACUUAACACAAGGCUCCUGUCUACUAAUGUCUGAGAGCUCCAAAUGCAGAGAAACCACACAGAGUUAAUGAUAAUUGAUAUCAUAUGGUCUUUAUCAAAGCUUCCUCAAGAAAAGCAGCUUAAGGGAAAAUCCGUAAAUGUGUGUCUUGACCACAGUCUACCAAUCUUCUUCCGCAUUGGAGCCUUUAACUAAUUUGUUGGUUUAAUUACUGAGGCACAGGAAAGUUUGCAAGAGUGAUAAUUGCAUAUUCUUUGAUUGCUGAUCAUUACAUUAAGUGGUCUCUAUGAAUUAAAAAUAAAACCCAAGUGCCAUGUGUGCAUCUAGGAAACCAGCCCCUAUCUAAAUCUGGACAUACAAGCUUACUACUGCUGGCUGACGGCACAAAGCAAAAAAACAACAGUGAAGUUCCAAAAACCUGUAAUUGCUGUGACAGUUAACUGCAGCCUAUGAAAUUUUGGGAUUCAAAGUGGGUCAGGCAAGAUCAAUGAGACAUCGGGCUCUCGUUUAAGGGCAGUUUAGAGGCUUGUUAGGUAACUUCUCAUGUGCCACAUACUUACAUCUUUAAUUGGACCGGGUAGUAUAGCCUACUGCACAAUUCUGAACUAGCGCCAGAGGAAUUACUAGAAGGUCAAACGGAAGAGAGAGGCAGGGGGAGGAGGAAGUGGUAAUUGAAGAGACAAGAGAUGAUUGUGAAAGUACUUGGAGGAGCCUGUGUGUCUGGCAAGAUGCAAUGGGCCAAGCUACAAACAGGAGGCAAGGCACUUACUGGAAUAACGUCUUUGCUCACUUCCCUCCCAGCCUAGAGCAAUGCCAUCACUAACUGACCCCACCAGCUGCCAAAGUAACAAAGCACUCUAGUGGCUAAUUAAUUGCAGUAUCUACCACAGUGUUUUGCCCAGAAAUAUGGGCUGUAUGAUCACACAGUGAUCAAGCAUAUAACUACAGAUGGCUCUGGUAAAAUACCUUUGCCUUCAAGAAAGAGAGAACAGCAAAGAGAACAGAAAUGAAAAGUAGAGAGAUGACAGCAAAACACCAUAGCCAAAAGCUGAACAGUCUUGUUUCAGUUCUGGUUCAGCUUAGAGGAGGCUGCCUGUGCUUUCCACUGUCCAUCAAAAGGACCGUUUUAUAAAUGUUUGCAUCAUUCUGCAAUAAAAGUUGGUCACUGUUCACAUAGAAACCUAGGAUCAGACCUCAUGCAUCAAAAUAGUUUCUCACAUACAUUAGUUAAGAAAAAAAUGAAAUGUAGCUUGAAAUAUUAAAAAAAAAAAAAAGCUUACUUAGACUCCCCCCCCCCCCCCCCCCCCCCAAUUGGUUACUUAGAUCCUAUUUUAUUUUUUUUCCCUACAAUCAUAUCAGGAAGAUAGAGCUGAUGCCAUGGGAAUAAUGGAAGAGUUCAAAUCACAACCUGAAACACAAAUGGGAAAAGAGACUCACAGAAUCUCAGAAUGUCUGAGGUUGGAAGGGAUCUCUGGAGGCCACCUGGUCCAACCUCCUCAACCCCUGCUCAACCAGGGCUACAUCCAGCAGGUUGCCCAGGGCCAUGUGCCCAGGCACCUUUCAAAGAUCUCUAAGGAAAGAAACUCCACAAUCUCUCAGGGUGACCUCUGUGCCAGUACUCUGUUAGGCUCACAGCAAAUGCUGAGCCUCCUCCAGGCUAAACAGCCUCAGUUCUCAGCCUCUUCUCAUAGGAGAGGAGCUCCUAUCCCCUCAUCACCCUGAGCGUCCUGCAUUCAACACUUCCCAGUAUGUCCAGAUGUCUCUUGUACUUGAGUUUUGUAACGUCCUUGUUAGCCCAACUCUCCAGCCCACCAAGGCCCCUCUGGAUGGUAACACAGCUUUCAGGUCACUGGGAGAACAGUGAAGGGGCACCUUGCGUCACAGAGAACUCAAAGUGCAAAAGCUUUAAAACCAGAAAAGGCUGCACUGGAAAUCAUGAGAGAAGAAUUUGAACGGUAGCACUAGAGGUGGCAACUGAGAGCCCAAGAGACAUCAAGAGACAACAAAAGAAGCUACAUUCAAAGUAACAUAAAUCAAGAGUCGGAUGAUUACAGUUAAUCAGAGCAAGCAGUAGCAAAUGUUGAAUAUCUAGUCUGCCUGACUGUGAGUGGACCAUUUACCUAAGAGAAAAUCUGGCAUUUAGAGCACUUUUAGAGCAGCCCUAAUUUUACCCGUUUCUUAGGUUUCCAAGGAUUGCUCAUGCAGAUUGAAUGGACUCAGUAUCUUCAGCAUUCUGCUAAUCAUUGUUUAUUAGUGUUACCUUAUACCUGGAAAACGUACUUUAUAAAUCCCCCAAGUCAUAUUUCUGAAUUAUCACCACCUCCACUCUGUGUAGUUAAAAAACUUUACCUCGGUUUUCAGAAUGUCUCCUCAGAUCUCCAUGCACCACCUUUUUCUUAUGUAUACAAACACACUGCUUUGAAGAAGCUAUUCUAACUUGCAGUGGUGAAUUUAUGAUGCCAAAGCUAUAUAUAGGCAGAGAAUGGAGAGCUCCUUAAGCAGCAUGCCAAAACUGGAUUUGAAACACUUUGUUAUUUGAAAGCAUUAAAUAUAUAACAAUGUUAUUACAGCUAAAGCCCCUAUACUGUCUUGAAUUUUUUUCCUUCAAAAAUAUGGAUGGGAUGCAUAAACAAGAGGGCUUGUUGCUUGAACUACUUUGAAAGGUGCUUCCAGAGCAAUUUCCAUUCUCAAAAAGAACAUGCAUCUAUAAUUAAUAAACUAUUUGUUUUUAAUGAGUUCUUUUUUUGUGCAACAUGUACUUUCAAUACAGCUAUGAUAUAUCUAUAAUGCACACCACUUGCCAAGACAGAUGCUACAAUCACAAGGAAAGGAUAUUUAAGUGUUUGUGCAGUAUUUUCAGAGUUGUACUGUAAAAUGCAAAGCCACAACAGUUAUCAUCAUUAAUUCAAGUUUAGGGGCACAAAAAAUUCAAUAUUAAGUACUGUCCUCUACAACUGCUCUGAGACUAAUGCACUGAUAUUCUACUGUGUAAAAGUAUAGAUAGCGUUUCUGCUAAUGGGUUUUUGAAGCAUGCACCAAACACUAAAACACUUGCAGACAUAUCAACCAGCUUUUUUUGCUUGUGAUCUGUUUCACUCUGCAUUGUCAUCACUCAUGGGGCAAAAGAUAUUGGCAGACCGAGACCAAACUUGGAGAUGUUGACAAGAACUUGGUAGCCUGGUUACAAAGAGGAAAGGAGUUAAAAAAUUUAUGCUGACACUGAACAGUAGGUCUUUAUGACACUCCUCGCUUUGUAUAAUUCUGUUGCAUCUUCCCUUGUCAUUCCUUGCACAGAAAUCAUGCAAAGCUCAGAUAAUCCUAGCAAUCUUUUCUGGAGUUCUUCUAGUCACUCACAUCCUUUUAGGGAUGAAAGGACCAGGACUCCAAAUGCUGCUUUACACAGACAGUGCAACAGAUUCACAGUGUUACAGCGCUCUCCAAUCCUAACGUUUGAGUUUCUCCUUCAGCUUCUACUGCAGCCAGAAAACGAUUUCCAUACAGGUGGAAAUAACUGCAGAGAGCUUAUCUUUGCAAAUGUAAAGAGAGCAAUUCUCUCACCCUCCUGUGUAGCACCACUUCAGCUGCUUUGUGUAUCUUGCCACACAAGUCAUUUAAUUGCCAUGUCCUUUUGCAGCCCAUUGUAGUUGACCCUCAGCUCUAUUCCCCAAAAAUGCCCGGUAUCAUGAGCACACUUUGCCAUCAUAUGGUUCACACUCUCCUCCCACUCACUGCUGGGUAUUUGAACAUGAGAAACCCCUGUACAACCUGCUGGGUGGAGUUUCCCAUUCUUUUUCUUAUUGAACCCAUGGCUUGCACAUUUAUAAAACUAAUUAUUACCUUCUUCCUUUCUUUUCCUUUCAUUCUAAGGGCACCAUCUUGCUCUAGACUCCCUCUCCUCAACCGUGCAGGCAAUUUGCUAAAGAUCCUUCUUAGACCUUUGUUGCUUUAUUGUGAAUUUAGCUAUCGAUACCGUCUUUUGAUAACAGGAGCUGGAAGUACUUUGUUUUGAUAUUUUUGAUGUUCACGUUAAACAUCAUCGGCUCCCAGCAAACAAAGAUCUGGAAGUUGGCUUCACAUCUUGUCUAUAGACAGCCCAGAAAUCUAUCAGGAGACAAGGUGACUGCUUCUUCCAAGUCCAUUUCAGUCUGGUGCUUUCAAGAGGAUCAUGACUGGAGCAGAGAUUUCUGGAACCCGAGCCAAAAAGCACUGAAACCUAAGUGUCAAUCUAAGCUAUUGUAAAACACGCACCAUUCUGCACUGGGAUUGAAGCCAGUUAAUGCUUCCACGUUAAUUUCUUUGUUUCAUAUGCCACUUAAUUGCUUAGUGUCUUGGGUCGUAUCUAUCUAUCUAUAUUAUCUUGCAGAAAAAAACUGGGAUGCCUUGAACUAUAGCAGAGUAAGAUGUGGAGGGAAGAUGGGACCACCUCCAGAUCCCUUAACACAGGUCUCUUACAGUCUGGGGAAGAAAGUACAGAGCAGAAUAUAUUAUGUAGUAGGCUCUCAGAUUUUCCAAUUUUCUUUGGUUUUAAGUGGCUCUGCCACCUGCCUGCCCCACUAAGGUAGUCAGUCUGAUAGAGCAGGACAGAAGAAGACUGCCUCAGCCUGCUCCUCAUGAGAAUCAUAGAAUCACUAAGGUUGGAAAAGACCCACAGGAUCACCCAGUCCAACCAUCCACCCAUCACCAAUAGUUCUCACUAAACCAUGUCCCUCAACACAAUGUCCAAAUGUUCCUUGAACACCUCCAGGGUCAGUGACUCCACCACCUCCCCGGGCAGCCCAUUCCAGUGCCUGACCACCCUUUCAGAGAAGCCUCACUGCAGAUCAUAAGCUCUGAGUUUUAGCAGCCCAAACUUUCCUAUGAAGUCAGUGUUCCAGCACUCCUUUAAAUGCAGAGUUUAGUCUCCCUGCACUGAAUUUGGCACUACCAGCAUAGCACAGAAAAGGCUUCACAGGAGGCAGAAUCAGGGCAGGAGCAUUUUCCAUGCAUUUUGAGAUUUUUCACCAGUAGCAGACAUGACUCGAAGUCCCUCUCCACUGAACCACCAGUUACACGCAAAGCAUCUUUCUGAUGCUCCUCAGUGGGUGUCCGUAAAGACCUUCUCCCUUUACCAUUAGAUCACAUUACCGUAUUCUUGCUGAAAGUUUACCUCAUCCUGAAAAUAAUUUGGUUACUUUAGCCUGCUAUGUGGGUUUGACUGCAAGGACUCUGUGUUUGCAACUUACUGUUUUAAAUGAAUUUAAAUGGCUCUGACUGAAAUUGAUAUUCAAUGGGAAGUAGUUAAUCAUUAAUGAUAUCCCUACAUCUAAAAUCAAACACAGACUGAUGGGCUCCCUAUCUCAAUAAGCUUCCACCAUCGGGAGAUAGCAAAUGGGACUGUAAGUCAGUGUAAACACAAGGCAAAAGAGAAAUGUAAAUUACAUGGUUUAGCUUAGUGGGCAAAACUGAAAUACUUUUCAUGCUACCUAGCCUGCUCUGUGGAGAUGAAUACGUUCAUCCCUCAUAUAAAGCACAUACUUGACAUGACUUGUAAUAGGGCCCUAAACACAAAAGAGAGUCAGCUGACCACAUAGCCCCCUCUGCCCAUAUUCCUGCACAUUAAGAAACAGACUAAAAUCCUGAUGACCUACUAUCAUAAUCAGAAGGCAAAAAUGUUUGAUUUUUAUCUUGCUGCUCCUCACAAAUCACAAGUCUGCCACAAAAAUUCCGGGUCCACAAAAAUUCCCCUCACUCCAAGACAUUUUAUAUAGAACUGAAUGUACCAUAAAUGAACUGCAACUUCAUGUUUGUAUCCAAACACUGAUACAACAUUAUUUCUGGAAAUAAACAGUCUCAUCCCUCUUUUACAUUAAAUCAAUUCAUUGUUUUUCCGUUUGUAUUCUUUGUGAUGUUCCUCCAAACACUCCACAAAUUACCUAGCUUUUAGAAAGCCAGGAGCUGUUUGCUGUUUUUUCCCCCUCCUCUUUAAACUUGAAUGCAGCUUGAGAUUCUUAAGAUCUCACAUUAGGUUUAACUGCUUCGCUGUAGACCUGGUGGCACCAUUGAGCAAAAGGGAGGGUUCUGACACACGGUGAAGAUGUGCUCGUUUCUGUGGCCAACAAAGAGCCAAGGCGACCCCUGUUAUUACGGCUAGUGAGACUAGAUUUACCAUAUUAUUAAUCAUUAAAGUCUGACUCAAAAUUCAGACUGGCUUGUACUUAUUCCUUGGGUCAGGGAGCUUUAUCAGAGCUCAUUAACUGCAUUGGGCUUCUCAUUUACUCAUUCUGCAGCAAUCUUUUUCCUAAUGCGUGAGGGGAAAAAUGAAACACCAGUGAUUUAACUGUUUGAGGGAUAUUUACUGCUUGAUCUCCACAAAUAGAAGCAGCAGGAGUAUUUUGCUUGUCAAGAGGACGGUAAUUCUUCAAAUCCCUCUUAAGAGAUAAUGACUGGCAGCGUAAUGCUUUUGAUCUGUCAUAAUUAUAAAAUAAAAGAGAAUGGAUGCAAAGCUCACGUGCCAUGGGAAGGUCAGUUGCUUUUAAAUGCCUAGGAUUCCCUCUGUGGCUAAUCCCAGCAUGUCCUGAACACAGGCUAUUUUUAGGCACAAUUGUGGGUCCGUUAGACAUCCUGUUCAUAUAAAAUGAGUGCCUUACUGGUGAGCUUCUCCUGUAGGGCAGCUAAUAAGUAGGUAGGAAAAUGACAUCUCUGUACUUUUGACUUGCAUGCUGUUGCAAGGAAGGACAGCAGGAACGUCUCCUCUCUGGCGUCAAACAGUCCCCCUGCAGCACACACACAAUUUAAAUUAUUACAAGUAUGAAUGCCGGCACAAAAUAAAGUAAUUACAUUUAAUUAGGCAGCCAAAAAAGUGAUGGCCUGGGACUCCCUGCCUUAGAUGUAGCCUUUUGUUGACUUAACACAAGACAGGUAAUGAAUGAAACUUCAAAGUGUAAGCAACUGAAUUGCUACUUAAUUAGCGGAGCCCUAGUCAACAACACAGCAAAACACAACAAAACAAAACCCUCAAUUUUUAUUUAUUUUUGUUGUUAAACGAAUUCUAACAGCUAUCUCAUGCCUCACAGAAAUAACGAAAUUAAAGACUGUUCUAUUAAGAUCGUGUUUGUGUUCAAAAGUACAGAGAUGUAUUUUGGUUGUGUUAAUGAAGAGCCCCUGAAAGGUGCUAGAUUGGCAGCCCUGGAGCAUGACAUUACCCACAAGAGGACUUGGUGCAAACAAGUCACUAGCUCACAAAUCUCACUUCCCUGCCAAGCAUCAAGUACAGAGAGUCAAUUCUAUCAGUGUUCUGAUCUGCUGGUACAACCGCACCAAGAAACCUAGCAUAGGGAGAGAGGUUUCAGAAGUCAGAAAUGAUGAAAGACAUAGAUAAAGAAAAGUAGGUAUAUUGAAACACUGAUUUUCUUAUGAACAAGUCUCUCUGAUUUGCUUUUUCAUAUCUAGAAUCCCAUAGGUUGCCACAGCUCAUCUCUGGAAUCCUUUUAUGCUGCCAUAAACUUCCUACUGCUUUGUUGUACAACUGAAAGUGAAAAGCAAAGUGCGCCUGAAUAGCACAGUGAGUUCCUCUAUCCUGUCAUCUUUGGGCCAGCAUUUUAUUCUAACGUCAGAGAUGAAAGCAGGCUGUUUAUAGUUUUCAUCCCAUUCCUCAAAUGCUUAUGUCAAAAAGUCAGGAAUUUUAAGUUUCCCCUCCUCAGAAGCACUCAGGAUGGACUGGUAGGAGCCUCAGCAACCACUGCAGUCUUUACUUCAUGUCUGCCUACAGACAUAUUUUUCUUUGGAAGAUCAGCUAGAAGGGAAAAAUAACAUGUAGCAUUAAGAUUUCUGCCUGUCAGAGGUUUCCUCUCUCAGCCCUCUUCAGCUCAACAGCCCACUCAUCACCAGCUAACAGGUAGAGUUUUGUUAGGGGGCUUCAUAUUACGUCUCAGAUAUCACAAGUUAAGACUGACAACUGCACAUCCCUCUCCCUCUGCACCUCACCGAAACAUGACAUGGAUACCAGUUUCUGCAGGGGUGAUGCGAAGAUCAAAAACAUAUUCCACAGCCACCUGUGGUUUGCAGUACAAAUAGCGGUAACGAUGCAUCUGCUCUUCAAAGAUAUAAAAUUAGUACCUACAGAAAGCAGCACUGUGUGUUUGCUAACCUUUUCCCCAGCACUAUGGACAACACUGGACUUACAGCUUUGUUAGUAUACUCUUCUGUCAAUAAACACAGCAGUUUGGAAAUGAUUCUGCUGCAUCACUGAAGUCAACAGGAUCAUGAUGUAGUCCUCUGCACUGUUUCUUUUAAGGACCGUGUCAGAAAAAGACUCAAGUGCAAAAUAGAGAGAGGAGACGAAGAAAUUCAACAGAGUUUCAGCAAGUUCUGGAACAGACAAAGCAAGAACAAGUACGGCACUAAAAAGACCUACGGGACAGAAGAAACUGGAUUUAAAUUAGACUCCUCAUAGCAUAGGAAAGACUUUUGCUGAGAGAGAAAUUCUGAAGUGUUAUUUGAAUUUUUGUUUUCCAGGUAUGAUAAAAAUGCAAAUGGAGGGAAUGUGCUGCUACAAAUCUGUGUUUGCAGAGGAGAAAUAAGUGACAAAAGUAGUCUGGCCCCUUCGCCAGAAAGGAACCCAGAAUGACAGAAUAGCAAUAGAUAGAUGUUUGCUUGGGCUGUGCACAUUAAUGCACAGGCAGAGUUGCAAUGUUAGAGAUUAGGAAAAAUUCACAGAAUGCAACAAACUUCUGAUGAUGUGUUUUUUAGUACGUAGCCAGUGAGAAAACUUGUACAUUUCAAGGGAGUCAGCAGUCACCACCUCAUUGUCUUUCCAAUGGCAUGCAGCCAUAGGCUCUUCCGCAAGCUGUUGUUUGACUGCAUUUACAAAUAAUGAUAGACUGGCUGCUUAGUUGUACCAUUCAUCUGGGAAAAUUAGAUUGAAAUUUUAAUGACAGCAUAUCAGAAAUCUUUAGCAAAAGAAGACAUACCCGCAUCAAUCAGUAAUUCUCUUUGCAGUUCCUUAUUAGUUCACUCUCAAAUCUGUAUGUAAAGCUAUAUAAGCAUAAUCUGUCACUGCAAGACACACAGGCUCACUGAAUUUGUAUCAGGACACUUUCACAGUUAAACACUGGAAGUAUCAGAGAGAAACUGCUGUAAACAAGUUCUUGCUUCUCUCUUUCUUCUAACCCAAAUCAGUAUCUGAUGGUGCUGGAAUGAUCUCCAAGAGGAACACCAGCAAAACAAGAAAACUCAAUUGAGGGGAAAGUCAUAUGAAGACAAAAAACAAAACAAAGCACACAACCAAAACAGCAUUAUACAACUGCUUCUGGCACAACAUACGCUAACUGACAAUUUGAGGUCUCAUGGGUACAUUCCUUACACCACAGCCUCAGCUUUUGAGACGUUCCUCCAGAACACGCUUUUUCCACCAGUGGAGUAAUGUGCUAAGCCUUGUUUUGUGGCAGAACAUCAUGGACAAUGCUGAUCUAUCCUGUUCUCACAGCUGCAGACAGAGGGCUUCUAACCACUUACUGCACCCAAACCAGGGAGUAGUUCUCCUCAGGUUUAUGUCAAAGAGUUCCUGACUGUGCAUCUGUACUUCCAUCACCUUCCUUGAUAAAAACAUUGCUUUGAAACUUUCUGGAGCUAGAUAUCUGCCACUGUCAUUAUUCUAUUUGUCCCCUAACAGUCCUCAAGUUCCCAGGCUGGUUUCCUUCAGACCAGAGCUUGAAGAGGUCCAUCAUCUCCCAGAAUAGUCAUCAUGUCUGAUCAGUGAUACAUCUCUGGGAUCCUUUCAGAAAAGCCAGUGCAAAGCUUUCCAACAACACGGACAAAACGAAUUUUGCUGCUUCAGGCCACUCAGCUUGGCGAUACCUCCUUCCUGCCAUGGGAAGGGAAGCAGUAGAACAGAUAUUGGAAAUAGGACUGAAGAAAAUGACAGCCUUCUCAGAGAGUCUUCCCAGGGGCCUGCUGUAGAGCCACCAGAUUCCUUUUGCAUUAACAAUUUUUAUCCUUCUUCAAUCAGCCACUGCUGUUGUAAGACCUUCUCUGCUCAGAGGUCUCAGUCAGAUUACAGGAAACAGGAAAGUAAUUGCUCCUUGCUGAAUAACCUAAAGAGCUGUAAUCCCAAAACAAGACCGAACAAGCUCCCCCAGAUCAUAAUCCCCAGUUUCCACUCUCUGCUCUCCCCAGGGCAUUCACUGUGCAAAAUACCCUUACUCUUACAGAAGCCCAGAUAGUUCUGCAUAGCUUGUGGCUCAUUUUCUGAAAAUAGUGAGUUUAAAGCCCAGUUUCAUUUUUCCUAACCUUGCUCAGCCUGCUUAUUACUUUCCAUUUUUUUGCCAAAGGUUUUUUUUUAGCAUUUUUUCUCAUGUUUCCAUGGAACUCCCAGUUUGAUAUUAGGCAUAUCAGCUGCUUGACCACCUUCGUUUCUCCCAAAGGGGCCCCUGCAAUUUACGUAUUCCACAUCAAUAGAUCUGGCCAGGCUCAAUUUCAAGGGUUUCUGUUGGCCCACUUCCUCAAGAGUUUCACUCUUCAACAGUCUCCCACCAUCAGCCACUCUUCUUGGUACACAGAGGUCAUGACAGAAUGACCACAGGGGCAUAAAAGUUGCUAAAGCAGCACUGCAAUUUCAUAAAUAGGACAUAACAUGCAGGAGUUAUUUGGGAACAGGUCUCUGUUCAUCUACAAAUCAUAAAACAGGUUGGGUUGGAAGAGACCUUAAAGCCCAUCCAGCCCCAAAUUCCCUGCUGAGGGCUGGUUGCCACCUACCACCAGGUCAAGCUGCCCAGGGCCCCAUCCAACCUAGCCUUGAGCACCUUCAGGGAUGGGGCAUCCACAGCUUCUCUGGGGAGCCUGUAUCAGGGCCUUGACACCCUCUGAAUAAAAUCUUUCCUCCUAAUAUUUAACUCAAACCUCCUAUCUUUUAGUUUUAAACCAUUCCCUCUUGUCCUAUCCCUAUCUGUCCAACCUUUUGGCUUGCCUGGGCUGCACUGAGUGAAGAGGGAUUUUAUUGAGACACAUACACAUAGGCUGCACCGAAAAUAAUGUCUCCAUUUCCCUGGAAACUACAAUCUAUACAAAGAGCACAUUCUCAACUACAGAACACUAUUUUUCUUCAUAGUCACAACCAAUAGCUGUGCAUUUUCACCAGCAGUGAGCAAGAGCCUGCAUACUGCUCUCCUCAAAAUCUACACCAGUGGAGGUGACCCACUGUUGCUCUCUCCACUGUCGAAAUACAGCACCCACUGCCUCACUCUGCUCACAUCCACUGCUGGUCUCCAGCAAGCAUAGAUGAAUGUCAGUGGGUACCAUUUUGUCUGCAUGGAGGAAUUCAAUGACACACCUUUGUUUCAUUUGCACUUCUAUAUCAGAUGCCAUUUUGUCAGACUGCCCUUCUGCUGCUAUUUGCCACAUGGCAAUAAAAUGUAACCGAGUAUUCAUCUGAACAUGAAGAAAAACUUCUUUAUAUUGAGGGUGACAGAGCACUGGAACAAGUUGCCCAAAGAGGCUGGUGAAGCCUCCUUCUCUGGAGAUAUUCAAAACUUGCUUGGACACUUUUCUGUGCAACCUACUCUAGAAAACCUGCUUUAGCAGAGGGUUUGGACUAGACAAUCUCCAGAGGAUCCUUCAAAAUCCUAUGAUUUUGACAUGCUCCAAACUGAGCAAACUAAGUUCAGUUUCCUUAGCCUGUCUUCAUAGGACAGGCACUUCAGUCCCUUGAUCAUCUCUGUGUUCCUCUGGUCCCACUCCAACAGCCCCUUAGCUUUCUUUUGCUGGGGGCCCCAGGCCUGGAUGUAGUAGUCCAGAUGGGGCCUCAUGAGGUCAGAGCAGAGGGGGACAAUCACCUCUUACACCCUGCUGGCCACCCCUCCGUUGAUGCAGCCCAGGAUACAGUUGGUCUUCCAGGCUAUGAAUGCAUACUGUAUACUGUUGUUCAGUAGGAUUCUUCCAAGCAGGAAAUGGUACUGCCAGCAAGAGGUGGUUUCUGGACAGUGUACAAAUAUUUCAGAGUAACAAAAAUAAGGUUUUGGUAAUGCUUAACAUAAUAGUAUUCCUCUGACACUGAUCUUUGUUGGUACAUCUGAAGAGGACUUUUUACGCCAAGAAAUAGAUAUGUGACUCUUCUUAUCCUGUUUUUAUGAAAAUGAACAGCAUUAUAAAACAUGGGAGAUCAUAAGCAAAUUAUAUUAUUUUGAAAACAUUCAUCAGGGUCAUCUUUUGCAUCUCUUUCAGGACCAUAACUGCUUCCUCAGUUUAUCAGCUGUACCUGCAAAGGUGGUAGUCAGACACUUUGCCUCGUCCUGAAAUGUGAAGAAUAAGCUGUUAUGUGGGAUCUUCAUGCACAUCUUUAGACAUUAUGGCAAGGAAAAUACGACUCACAAUAUUAGUGAUGAAUGCAGCUAAAUUCUAAUCAUUUCCUAAAUAGAAAAACUCACAGAAAUCUGCGAGUGAAGCUACAGCACUGCUGGAAAUACUGAACUGACUUCACACAGCCUAAAGCAGGUUUAAUUUCUUGCUUUUCUAAGAGCAUUACAGUUUAGGCAUCACUGCUUGAAACAUCUGGAAACUUGCAUUAAAAAUUGUUGGACAAACCAUGCUCCAAAGUGCCCGUUUAGAAAUUUCAGCACAGUAAAAAUGGCACAUGGGUCAGAACAGAAUAUCCCAAGUUGGAAGAUACUCACAAGGAACGGUAAGUCUAACUCCUGUUGUAAAAUUCAACUCCUGAAAGUCCAUGUCUAAUUUCUGAAAUACAAAAUCUGCUUCAAUGUAAACAAAUGAGUUUUUCACUACUGUCCCCUUCUAAAUUGGACCAGCAAGCAUGCGUUGUACCAUGACCUUAUUGCAAAAAAGCACAAGCCUGCUACGAUAGACGGAGACCAAACUGUGCCAAAGAGCUCUGAAGAAUCAGAACAGAGCAUUCACAUUAAGUCUACAUGAGUAUGGUACAGCAUGUAGACAGAACAAGAAGAGACGGUUUAAAGCUUAAAGAGGGUAAAUCUUGGUUGGAUAUAAGGAAAAUUUUUUACAGUGAGGGUGGUGAGGCACUGGCACAGGUUGCCCAGAGAUGUGGUAGGUGUCCCAUCCCUGGAAACUUUCAAGGUGGGGCUGGAUCAGACCCUGGGCAACCUGAUCUAGCUGUGGCGUCCCUGUUCAGUGCAGGGCAGUUGUACUAGAUAGCCUUUAAAUGUCCCUUCACAGAGUAGAAGUUCAGUCCACCUUAAUAACAAACCUUAUUCAGUGCAUGAAGCAUUUUUGGUCUCAUUACCGCACAGUAACAACCACAGAGACACUUCUCAAAGGCUGAUGCUUCAUUAUGAUGUAUCACUGGGCAUUAAACUGGUGAUUUAUACUGACUUGGAUCAUCAAGCCACGAAGCUUUUACUAUGGCAGCUAAUAAGCAUAAACAUACACACCUCUGGAUCCUACUUCAACCACACAAUCUUAAAUAGCUAUUGAAAUCUAUGGUUCAUCUGACAAAUAGGAAAAAAAACAUAUCAGACUGGAUAUUUAUAUUUUAUGAUGGGUAAUCAGAACCAAGAGAGAGGCUUCUUCAUCAACAGGAGACCCAUUGCCUCUGGUAAUUGUUAUUUGUAUUUCAUCUGCUGAAGCAGCUUUGUAUUUGGCCCACGACUGCUCUCUCUGGAAAGCAGAACAUCAGUGUUCAUAGGAAAACCUCA